GGUUAGAGUGUAGGGACGGUAGGUAGCCUAGUGGUUAGAGUGUAGGGGCGGCAGGUAGCCUAGUGGUUAGAGUGUAGGGACGGCAGGUAGCCUAGUGGUUAGAGUGUAGGGGCGGCAGGUAGUCUAGUGGUUAGAGUGUAGGGACGGCAGGUAGCCUAGUGGUUAGAGUGUAGGGGCGGCAGGUAGCCUAGUGGUUAGAGUGUAGGGACGGUAGGUAGCCUAGUGGUUAGAGUGUAGGGACAGUAGGUAGCCUAGUGGUUAGAGUGUAGGGACGGCAGGUAGCCUAGUGGUUAGAGUGUAGGGGCGGCAGGUAGCCUAGUGGUUAGAGUGUAGGGACGGUAGGUAGCCUAGUGGUUAGAGUGUAGGGACGGUAGGUAGCCUAGUGGUUAGAGUGUAGGGACGGUAGGUAGCCUAGUGGUUAGAGUGUAGGGACGGUAGGUAGCCUAGUGGUUAGAGUGUAGGGACGGUAGGUAGCCUAGUGGUUAGAGUGUAGGGGCGGCAGGUAGCCUAGUGGUUAGA